GGGUUGUGAGGUUAAGCGACUAAGCGUACACGGUGGAUGCCCUGGCAGUCAGAGGCGAUGAAGGACGUGCUAAUCUGCGAUAAGCGUCGGUAAGGUGAUAUGAACCGUUAUAACCGGCGAUUUCCGAAUGGGGAAACCCAGUGUGAUUCGUCACACUAUCAUUAACUGAAUCCAUAGGUUAAUGAGGCGAACCGGGGGAACUGAAACAUCUAAGUACCCCGAGGAAAAGAAAUCAACCGAGAUUCCCCCAGUAGCGGCGAGCGAACGGGGAGCAGCCCAGAGCCUGAAUCAGUGUGUGUGUUAGUGGAAGCGUCUGGAAAGGCGCGCGAUACAGGGUGACAGCCCCGUACACAAAAAUGCACAUACUGUGAGCUCGAUGAGUAGGGCGGGACACGUGGUAUCCUGUCUGAAUAUGGGGGGACCAUCCUCCAAGGCUAAAUACUCCUGACUGACCGAUAGUGAACCAGUACCGUGAGGGAAAGGCGAAAAGAACCCCGGCGAGGGGAGUGAAAAAGAACCUGAAACCGUGUACGUACAAGCAGUGGGAGCACAGAGCAAUCUGUGUGACUGCGUACCUUUUGUAUAAUGGGUCAGCGACUUAUAUUCUGUAGCAAGGUUAACCGAAUAGGGGAGCCGAAGGGAAACCGAGUCUUAACUGGGCGUUAAGUUGCAGGGUAUAGACCCGAAACCCGGUGAUCUAGCCAUGGGCAGGUUGAAGGUUGGGUAACACUAACUGGAGGACCGAACCGACUAAUGUUGAAAAAUUAGCGGAUGACUUGUGGCUGGGGGUGAAAGGCCAAUCAAACCGGGAGAUAGCUGGUUCUCCCCGAAAGCUAUUUAGGUAGCGCCUCGUGAAUUCAUCUCCGGGGGUAGAGCACUGUUUCGGCAAGGGGGUCAUCCCGACUUACCAACCCGAUGCAAACUGCGAAUACCGGAGAAUGUUAUCACGGGAGACACACGGCGGGUGCUAACGUCCGUCGUGAAGAGGGAAACAACCCAGACCGCCAGCUAAGGUCCCAAAGUCAUGGUUAAGUGGGAAACGAUGUGGGAAGGCCCAGACAGCCAGGAUGUUGGCUUAGAAGCAGCCAUCAUUUAAAGAAAGCGUAAUAGCUCACUGGUCGAGUCGGCCUGCGCGGAAGAUGUAACGGGGCUAAACCAUGCACCGAAGCUGCGGCAGCGACGCUUAUGCGUUGUUGGGUAGGGGAGCGUUCUGUAAGCCUGUGAAGGUGUACUGUGAGGUAUGCUGGAGGUAUCAGAAGUGCGAAUGCUGACAUAAGUAACGAUAAAGCGGGUGAAAAGCCCGCUCGCCGGAAGACCAAGGGUUCCUGUCCAACGUUAAUCGGGGCAGGGUGAGUCGACCCCUAAGGCGAGGCCGAAAGGCGUAGUCGAUGGGAAACAGGUUAAUAUUCCUGUACUUGGUGUUACUGCGAAGGGGGGACGGAGAAGGCUAUGUUGGCCGGGCGACGGUUGUCCCGGUUUAAGCGUGUAGGCUGGUUUUCCAGGCAAAUCCGGAAAAUCAAGGCUGAGGCGUGAUGACGAGGCACUACGGUGCUGAAGCAACAAAUGCCCUGCUUCCAGGAAAAGCCUCUAAGCAUCAGGUAACAUCAAAUCGUACCCCAAACCGACACAGGUGGUCAGGUAGAGAAUACCAAGGCGCUUGAGAGAACUCGGGUGAAGGAACUAGGCAAAAUGGUGCCGUAACUUCGGGAGAAGGCACGCUGAUAUGUAGGUGAAGCGACUUGCUCGUGGAGCUGAAAUCAGUCGAAGAUACCAGCUGGCUGCAACUGUUUAUUAAAAACACAGCACUGUGCAAACACGAAAGUGGACGUAUACGGUGUGACGCCUGCCCGGUGCCGGAAGGUUAAUUGAUGGGGUCAGCGCAAGCGAAGCUCUUGAUCGAAGCCCCGGUAAACGGCGGCCGUAACUAUAACGGUCCUAAGGUAGCGAAAUUCCUUGUCGGGUAAGUUCCGACCUGCACGAAUGGCGUAAUGAUGGCCAGGCUGUCUCCACCCGAGACUCAGUGAAAUUGAACUCGCUGUGAAGAUGCAGUGUACCCGCGGCAAGACGGAAAGACCCCGUGAACCUUUACUAUAGCUUGACACUGAACAUUGAGCCUUGAUGUGUAGGAUAGGUGGGAGGCUUUGAAGUGUGGACGCCAGUCUGCAUGGAGCCGACCUUGAAAUACCACCCUUUAAUGUUUGAUGUUCUAACGUUGACCCGUAAUCCGGGUUGCGGACAGUGUCUGGUGGGUAGUUUGACUGGGGCGGUCUCCUCCUAAAGAGUAACGGAGGAGCACGAAGGUUGGCUAAUCCUGGUCGGACAUCAGGAGGUUAGUGCAAUGGCAUAAGCCAGCUUGACUGCGAGCGUGACGGCGCGAGCAGGUGCGAAAGCAGGUCAUAGUGAUCCGGUGGUUCUGAAUGGAAGGGCCAUCGCUCAACGGAUAAAAGGUACUCCGGGGAUAACAGGCUGAUACCGCCCAAGAGUUCAUAUCGACGGCGGUGUUUGGCACCUCGAUGUCGGCUCAUCACAUCCUGGGGCUGAAGUAGGUCCCAAGGGUAUGGCUGUUCGCCAUUUAAAGUGGUACGCGAGCUGGGUUUAGAACGUCGUGAGACAGUUCGGUCCCUAUCUGCCGUGGGCGCUGGAGAACUGAGGGGGGCUGCUCCUAGUACGAGAGGACCGGAGUGGACGCAUCACUGGUGUUCGGGUUGUCAUGCCAAUGGCACUGCCCGGUAGCUAAAUGCGGAAGAGAUAAGUGCUGAAAGCAUCUAAGCACGAAACUUGCCCCGAGAUGAGUUCUCCCUGACUCCUUGAGAGUCCUGAAGGAACGUUGAAGACGACGACGUUGAUAGGCCGGGUGUGUAAGCGCAGCGAUGCGUUGAGCUAACCGGUACUAAUGAACCGUGAGGCUUAACCUUACAACGCCGAAGCUGUU
rnacentral:rRNA from 1 species